rnacentral:tRNA from 1 species
GCUGGUGCGUCCAGGUGACAGGUCAGUACGCCACACUGACACAGGCCGGUUCGACUCCGGUCACCAGCUCCA